AAUAAAUACAGUUUUACACUGUUUAUAUCUAAUAUUUAACCAUUCGUCUCGUUUGAAAAUGUUUUAUAAUUAUUUUUAUUAUUAUUAGAUGAUAAAACAUGAAUAAUACUUUACGUGUGACUAUAUUUUUAUUUUUUUAUAAAUUUUUUAAAUAAAACAGAGUGUUAAACGUUUGGAUACGGAGAUACCGACUACACUUAUU
rnacentral:pre_miRNA from 1 species